GACCGCGUAGCUCAGUUGGCAGAGCAUUGGGCUAUAAUAUUCCAAAGGUCGUAGGCUCGAUUCCCACCGUGGUCU
rnacentral:tRNA from 1 species